AUCCGACUGACGAGUCCUAAAUAGGACGGGACGCAUAUCCUGGAU
rnacentral:hammerhead_ribozyme from 1 species